GAUGAGCAUCGCUGCUGAUGCGGAGAAUCGGUCGAUUUUGAUCGAUUAUGAACUUAUUCCUGUCCUACUUAGGUUGUUCGAGUCGGUAAGAUGCGUCUUGUGAAGAAAUUUCUCGUCAUUUUUUCAUGUGGAGGACGAAGCUCUUCAGUACUACGUUACCUGUUUGGUUCAAAGGUGUUGCGCAUCCUUAAAGGAGAGAGGAGUUUUGACGCGUUGUGUUUCAUUCUUGAUAC